UGUAUUCUCGUUUAAGCCAUGUGGGUUAAUACAUUCAUAUUAAUUUCACAUUCCUGCUAUCCUGAUACAAUGAGACAAAUUAAAUUCUAGAUUUUAUUAUAGCCUAGUGUAGCGACAUACUGUUACAGAAGUACAUUGAAAAAGUUUGGUACUUUUAUUCAUCCAGCUUAACGAGAGCACGGAAAAUAGGGCUCUAUAUAAAUAGAGAGAGUAUGCUGAAGGAAAGCAAACAUGCAGAAAUUAUAACUCUGAAAGAAAAUUCAAUACCAGACGUUCAAAUGCUUUGGGUGCCGAGAAGAAUAUAUUUCCUAGUUAGUUUAUUUUGCAAAAGUACAUUUUACAACUGUCCCUGCAAUGAAUAGUCAUCGUAAGAAACAUUCAGACAUACAGCUGCUUAAAUGUACCUGCUGCGAAAGUAUUUUUGAGGGAAAAGCUUUUUGAGAAGCAUCAAAAAAUUCACUACAAUCAGAUUGUUGCAACAGAAAACAAAAUGAAAGCAUUCCAGUCAUGCUUGAAUGGACAAAUUAAACAUUGCAGUGUUGAGAUAAAAACUUCGUGGAAUGAAUCCUACAGCUUGGAUAUUUCUAUCAAACUCCAAUCUUAAAACAGAUUUUCAAUUUCAACCCACGAAUUUGUAACAUUUACAUGGCGAUUGUUAUGAAUUCAAAUUACCAAACUUGAUGCCGUAUUGUAAUUUUGCUGUAUGAUUUAAGUUCGUUUACGUCACGUUAUUCUUAUGCUUGAUUUGCAUAUUUAUCGGAUGACAGGGAAUGGUAGGCGGUUUAUUAUAAAAUAGUGCACCAUUUGAUUCAUAAAUCCCCAGCCCAAUACUGGAGUCAUUGAAGUCGCAAUCUGCAUGCUAAUAUUUCCUCAUUCUGGUUUAAAUAUAAAAAGCCUUGUAGUAAUAGGUAUCAUAAUUGGAAAUAAGUCCCUGUUACAAGUUUUCCAUUUUAUUUUUUUUCUCACUAUGUGUCUUUUUCUUGGCUGUUGUUUGGAUUUCCUGUUUUAUUGUUCAAAUUUUGUUUCUGAUGAUUUUUGUAUCGGACAGUUAUUUUCUCUUAUACUUACAUUGAUGGUGGUUUGCCUCUGUCUAUUUUAAAACUUUUGUGUGAAAAAAGAAUAGUCUUUUUAUGAGCUGUUUUUGCUCUGAACAAGGCUUUGCUUGAGUAGGAUUAUGUGCAGGAGCAUAAUCAAAUCUUUGUUGCAUAUCCUGCCACGUGAUAAAUAUCAUUAUAUAUUGCAUGAACUAGUGUAGACGCUUUGUUGGUUUGCAGUGACAUUUAAACAAAUCAUAUUGAUCUGGAUUUAAGCCUACUGUAAUGACUUUUCUAAAUCUCCGAUGUUGAAAAUUUGUCAUGGACUAUUUCAAUCCUGGUUUAGUAGUGUUAAUUAGAUGGAUAGAGUGAAAGCUACUCACUAAAGAAACAUGCUGUGUUUUAUUAAGUCUAUACUUUGUAAUUCAAUACCUUUGCAUCAAUGUAGUUUUCAGCUGUGAAUUUCAAUUUGUUCUAAUGCCAAUUUGCUAGCACCCACAUUUUUGCAGCGUGUUCACCAAGUUGAAUGCCCGAACGAUGCACGUUCGUGUUUUUAUCUUUUUUUUUAUGUUUGUUUGUGUAGUAUGGGUGAACUGGCACAAUCAAUUCUUUCCACCACUUUCCCAACCUUUUUGAAGGUUUUGCCAGUUUUUUCAAUCUUCACCACUGUUUUGUGAAUUUUUUUUAGUUAGGAAAUUACAAUUCAGGACACAUCGUAUUUCUGCUUCUGAUCUUGACAUAAUGGAGGGAGAAACACAAGCAGAAUCACUCUCUGCAGUCAAGAAAAGUUUGAAGUCAAUGGAAGAUCAAAUAAAGCCUUUGCAAGAAGUUGCAGUGCGCGUUAUUGCUGAUGCUCACGAUACUCUAAUCGACUUAGUGACUUCUUUUGAUCCAUCGUUACAAGAUAACAUUAUCAACCAAACGUGUGUAGCCUGUGAAGCAUGUCGUCAUGAAUAUAAUACCAGGUGGAAUAUAUUGUGCGAACGAUAUGGAAUCGAGAACGGAAUGAUGAACUGAACAGCUGAUUGAUUCUGCUAAUAACUGCAUCGACCAAUGUAUGUCUUCGUCAACUGAUAUGCCAUAUUUUUUGGUAUUUUGGAAAUGUGGUAGUUUUCAUUAUAUGUUAUUUGUAAAACUGUUUAACUACCAUUACGACUGCAUUGCAUAUUCUUUUUCGAAAUGUUCUUAAAAGUAGUCACAAUCUGAACAUAGUAUGUGUACCAGUUAGGGUUGUUCAGGUUGUGCGUCAUCUUGGUACGAAUACUUCCGGAGCGCCAUACAAUGAGUUGAUAAAAGUUGAUUUCGGUACUUUCAUAAGAAGCAAUAAAUCACCUACUUUGCAAUAGUUCCAGGAUAUGUUUCAUCUCUAUUUUGUCCUCAAUAUUGUUUUGUCAAAAUAAAUUUGGUUUACGUCGAGACAUCACCGAUACUGUUAUCCCCUAAGGUUGAUUUUCAAAUAAGCGUGCUUUUGGUGGAAAAAUUCAUUAUUUUUUUGUCGAGUUUGAAAUUUCUAUUUGUUUGUAUAUAGUUUUUGCACACUUUAACGGGGAGGCAUAAAUAUUUGCUUGUUCCACAUUCCGUGAUUCCAUUUGGUCUCGCCAUUUUGUUUGGAUUAAGUGCCCUAAUAAUUCCCAAUAAUAGAAAUAUUAGUCUUCGCAUGGGCAUGUUAAAUAGUUAUAAUUGUACUCUGUAACUACAUUCUGAAUUAUUGAAGUCACAUUGAGAAAUGCAUAGCUGAUAAAAUGAAAAUAAACAAUACAAACAUUUUUAUUCU